rnacentral:rRNA from 1 species
GAUGAACGCUAGCGGCAGGCUUAACACAUGCAAGUCGAGGGGCAGCACGGGUAGCAAUACCUGGUGGCGACCGGCAAACGGGUGCGGAACACGUACACAAUCUACCUUUAUCUGGGGAAUAGCCCGAAGAAAUUCGGAUUAAUACCCCAUAAAAUAACAGAGUGGCAUCACUUAAUUAUUAAAACUCCGGUGGAUAGAGAUGAGUGUGCGUCCCAUUAGCUAGUUGGUAGGGUAAGGCCUACCAAGGCGACGAUGGGUAGCUGGUGUGAGAGCACGACCAGCCACACGGGCACUGAGACACGGGCCCGACUCCUACGGGAGGCAGCAGUGAGGAAUAUUGGUCAAUGGACGCAAGUCUGAACCAGCCAUGCCGCGUGAAGGAUGAAGGCC